ACGGAAGGCAGCAGUAGGGAAUAUUGCACAAUGGGGGGAACCCUGAUGCAGCAACGCCACGUGUGGGAAGAAGCAUUUCGGUGUGUAAACCUCUGUCGUGAGGGAAUAAGACCCGCCUCCGGGCGGGGUUGAAUGUACCUCGAAAGGAAGCACCGGCAAACUUCGUGCCAGCAGCCGCGGUAAUACGAGGGGUGCAAGCGUUGUUCGGAAUCACUGGGCGUAAAGGGAGCGUAGGCGGAGAAGCAAGCGGUCUGUACAAGACCGGGGCCCAACCCCGGACCUGCAGACCGGACUGCUCCUCUUGGAUAGUUCAGGGGCAGGCGGAAUUCCUGGUGUAGCGGUGGAAUGCGUAGAGAUCAGGAAGAACACCGAUGGCGAAGGCAGCCUGCUGGGGACUCAUCGACGCUGAGGCUCGAAAGUGCGGGUAGCAAACAGGAUUAGAUACCCUGGUA
rnacentral:rRNA from 1 species